rnacentral:rRNA from 1 species
CUGGGUGGAUCAGUGGCGAACGGGUGAGUAACACGUGAGCAACCUGCCCUCCACUUCGGGAUAAGCCUUGGAAACGGGGUCUAAUACCGGAUAUGAGCAUCUGCCGCAUGGUGGGUGUUGGAAAGUUUUUCGGUGGGGGAUGGGCUCGCGGCCUAUCAGCUUGUUGGUGGGGUGAUGGCCUACCAAGGCUUCGACGGGUAGCCGGCCUGAGAGGGCGACCGGCCACACUGGGACUGAGACACGGCCCAGACUCCUACGGGAGGCAGCAGUGGGGAAUAUUGCACAAUGGGCGAAAGCCUGAUGCAGCGACGCCGCGUGAGGGAUGACGGCCUUCGGGUUGUAAACCUCUUUCAGCAGGGAAGAAGCGCAAGUGACGGUACCUGCAGAAGAAGCGCCGGCUAACUACGUGCCAGCAGCCGCGGUAAUACGUAGGGCGCAAGCGUUGUCCGGAAUUAUUGGGCGUAAAGAGCUCGUAGGCGGUCUGUCGCGUCUGGUGUGAAAUCCCGAGGCUCAACCUCGGGCUUGCAUCGGGUACGGGCAGACUAGAGUGCGGUAGGGGAGACUGGAAUUCCUGGUGUAGCGGUGGAAUGCGCAGAUAUCAGGAGGAACACCGAUGGCGAAGGCAGGUCUCUGGGCCGCAACUGACGCUGAGGAGCGAAAGCAUGGGGAGCGAACAGGAUUAGAUACCCUGGUAGUCCAUGCCGUAAACGUUGGGCACUAGGUGUGGGGCUCAUUCCACGAGUUCCGUGCC